UAAGUUUUCUUAUAUUUGAUCUCACUAAGGUUAAGACAUGACUAAUUGGAAAUAAGCAUGCUUAGAUCACAUAACAUGUAAUUUUCAUGUUGCACAUCCAUGCUUGAUCUAUGUCAUUUGAUUAUACUGAUAUACGUGACCAUUGAUGGGUUUAGCUAUGAUAGUUGUAACGAAUGCUGCUUUGAUCCUAUGUCAUGAUGAUCGAUGAACGAGAUUGUUUGGUGAUGCAUUUAGGUAUUGAUAGCAUAGUUUUGAGUACUUCUACAAUUAUUUAACGCACAGUUAAGGUGUCUCAUAAAACUCAAGUGAGAGAUUGUUAUAUUUUUUUAUGACAUGUGGGCUUACUGUGGACCUUGGUAUGCGUAUCAGGCUAUUAAUUGAGUAAAAUCGUUUAAAAGUGAUCAAAUAU
rnacentral:lncRNA from 1 species